GUUUCGUGAAGCCCAGUGGACAACACGCCGUCGACGCCCGCCGUGUGCUCGCUGUUUUGCGCAGCCCAUCCGCGACGCCAUCGAAAACCGUGCUAGUGGUCGACGUCGUGCCUUGCCCGUUCGACGAAAUACCGAGCCAUGUGGACAGCCAUGCGUCUAGUCACGACCCAUUCAGGACCGAGAGAUGGUGAUCAUGCACGUGAUAUGGUGCCAACCACAGGAUGCCGUUGGUGGACGACCCAAGGAAG